rnacentral:misc_RNA from 1 species
UACAGCUCAAGGUCUGG